rnacentral:rRNA from 1 species
UACGUAGGGGGCAAGCGUUGUCCGGAUUCAUUGGGCGUAAAGAGCGUGUAGGCGGCCUGGAAGGUCAGCUGUGAAAACUCGAGGCUCAACCUCGAGACGUCGGUUGAAACCACCUGGCUAGAGUCCGGAAGAGGAGAGUGGAAUUCCUGGUGUAGCGGUGAAAUGCGCAGAUAUCAGGAGGAACACCCGUGGCGAAAGCGGCUCUCUGGGACGGUACUGACGCUGAGACGCGAAAGCGUGGGGAGCAAACAGG